rnacentral:rRNA from 1 species
UACGUAGGGUGCAAGCGUUAAUCGGAAUUACUGGGCGUAAAGCGUGCGCAGGCGGUUUUGUAAGACCGAUGUGAAAUCCCCGGGCUUAACCUGGGAACUGCAUUGGUGACUGCAAGGCUUGAGUGUGUCGGAGGGAGGUGGAAUUCCGCGUGUAGCAGUGAAAUGCGUAGAUAUGCGGAGGAACACCGAUGGCGAAGGCAGCCUCCUGGGAUAACACUGACGCUCAUGCACGAAAGCGUGGGGAGCAAACAGG